GGAGCUUUAAGAGAAAUUUUUCCCUAAGAUUUAAGGAAAAUUUUCCUCCCUUAAAAGUGUGCUUUUUCUUUAAGAGAAAAUCUUUUUCUAUAAGAGUGUGUCUCUGUUAAAUAUGAGAUGUCUCUCUCGGAAAUGUGCCGGGGAAGGUUUUCCGGUUUGUCCCGGAGGGCUUGUAGCUCAGUUGGUUAGAGCGCGCGCUUGAUAAGCGUGAGGUCGGAGGUUCAAGUCCUCCCAGGCCCACCAAUUUAGAUUUAUUUAGCCCACUGUUGAGAAAUUUCCUCCUUGAUAAAAAACUCUAAAAUGAGAAAAGCUCUAAAGAGUAGACAAAACUCUUGAAAACCUCAAAUGACGGAUACUCAAAUCCUCCAUAAAGUUUGAGUGAUAAAGUUUAAAUCAUAGAGUUUAGAACCCAUAGAGUUUAAAAUUGUCAGGAAAAUGUUCAUGAUCUCUUUUAUGUGAGAUUAUUGAAAAAUUUGCUAGACGAUCAAGGAACUAGGUAAUCAAGGAAAUUGAUAAUAUCGGGAAAUUGAUAAAGAUCGGUUUUUAGGGUUAGCGCU
rnacentral:tRNA from 1 species